GCUCAGGUCAGCUUGUUCGUGUGUGACCUGCUUUGUGGGCAUACGAGGUCAGGCGGAUUCUUGACCUUAAUGAGAUUUAGUUCAGUGUGUAGGUUUGUGCGUGUGUAGGUGAAGGGGUGUCUCUCUCUCUCUCUCUCUCUCUCUCUCUCUCUCUCUCUCUCUCUCUCUCUCUCUCUCUCUCUCUCUCUCUCUCUCUCUCUCUCUCUCUCUCUCUCUCUCUCUCUCUCUCUCUCUCUCUCUGCCACGUUUCACACUUUUAACUAAAAAAAAAAAGAUCAUAUCCACACUUAUCUUAGUUACACAGAAAUAAAUAUGGUACACUUUUUUCUUAACUUCUUUUUUGCUUGUAGUUUUUGUUAUCCGGUAAUGGAAUAAGCUCCUGCCUUCAACGGUUCAGUCACUUUUAUGAUGAUUCACUUAAAAAACAAUCACCACCACCACCUCGCCUAAAUACUGACGCUCUAGUAAAGAUGCUAAAACGGCUCCGUAUCCUCCGUUUGAUGUCGCUUUACUUAAAUUUAGAUCACCUCGCAUAUGGACCUUAGCGUCUGUGUCAGCGUUCCAAAUUGUCGUACUCUGAACAUUGGAUUUAUUAUUUUUAGGCUCCAAGACCGUCGUAACCACACAAACAACGAUAGAAAAUCAAAGUUAUCGUUGAAACUGUUAAAGAGUGAUGGCUUUCGCUCUUUUUUGCUAGAGUUAUCGGUCAGAAACUAGGAAAAUGCAAUGCGCUGAGUACGAUAAUUUGGCAACGCUGGACUCCGUGUGUUGGUCCUCCCGCCCACCACCACCACCACCACCUGUUAGACCAGUUGCAGUAGUAGGCUCUGAACCACUUUGUUAUUACCCUUAUAAAAGUUAGCUAAGGGACCUGAAUAAAGUGGUAGGUUUGGGGAGAACAUUUACCUCCUUAAACUUCCUUCUGAAACCUUCCUAACAUAACAACCAAAACGUUAGCAGUAAGUAGCGGCCUUUUCUUUUCUUUUUUGCAUUAUUGUUUUCUCUUAUUUUUUACGCCCUUGCUCUGUUUCGUCUGCUGUAAAAAAAAUAUAUAUGGAGAAAACGCUGAACGGGGAAAUAUAUAUAAAAAAAAAAGCAGAGAAGCGUCCCUUAACAUUUUUAUUAUAAUUUUCAUACACAACAGUUUAGAUAGGAGAGAGAAUAUAGUAGAAUAUCAGAUAAUCUUAAUGUUGUAUAUAUAGAAUAAUAACCACGGUACUUUUAAUUACCAUACAUUAUUAUUAUCCUACCUAAACAUCAUAUGCAUACGUUAUAUUCCCGCCCAAUUUUGUCUUAUUACCUCUGUCAGUCUUAGCUGCUUAUACCCUAUCUAGGAGGAGGAGGAGGAGGAGGAGGAGGAGGAGGAGGAGGACAGUAUUUAAAGUGAAGUGUACAAGUAAACAUCACGUAUGGAAUCGUUAAAUACCUGUUGCUUAUGUUGCUUCUUUCAUCA